GAUGAACGCUGGCGGCGUGCCUAAUACAUGCAAGUCGAGCGAAUGGAUUGAGAGCUUGCUCUUAUGAAGUUAGCGGCGGACGGGUGAGUAACACGUGGGUAACCUGCCCAUAAGACUAGGAUAACUCCGGGAAACCGGGGCUAAUACCGGAUAACAUUUUGAACCGCAUGGUUCGAAAUUGAAAGGCGGCUUCAGCUGUCACUUAUGGAUGGACCCGCGUCGCAUUAGCUAGUUGGGGAGGUAACGGCUCACCAAGGCAACGAUGCGUAGCCGACCUGAGAGGGUGAUCGGCCACACUGGGACUGAGACACGGCCCAGACUCCUACGGGAGGCAGCAGUAGGGAAUCUUCCGCAAUGGACGAAAGUCUGACGGAGCAACGCCGCGUGAGUGAUGAAGGCUUUCGGGUCGUAAAACUCUGUUGUUAGGGAAGAACAAGUGCUAGUUGAAUAAGCUGGCACCUUGACGGUACCUAACCAGAAAGCCACGGCUAACUACGUGCCAGCCGCCGCCGUAA
rnacentral:rRNA from 1 species